rnacentral:rRNA from 1 species
UACGUAGGGUGCAAGCGUUGUCCGGAAUUAUUGGGCGUAAAGAGCUCGUAGGCGGUCUGUCGCGUCGGCUGUGAAAACUCGGGGCUCAACCCCGAGCCUGCAGUCGAUACGGGCAGACUAGAGUGCGGUAGGGGAGACUGGAAUUCCUGGUGUAGCGGUGAAAUGCGCAGAUAUCAGGAGGAACACCUGUGGCGAAAGCGGCUCACUGGACCAUAACUGACGCUGAUGCACGAAAGCUGGGGGAGCAAACAGG